UACGUAGGGAGCAAGCGUUAUCCGGAUUUAUUGGGUGUAAAGGGUGCGUAGACGGGUAUGCAAGUUAGUAGUGAAAUCCCUCGGCUUAACUGAGGAACUGCUACUAAAACUACAUAUCUUGAGUACUGGAGGGGAAAGUGGAAUUUCUAGUGUAGCGGUGAAAUGCGUAGAUAUUAGGAAGAACACCGGUGGCGAAGGCGACUUUCUGGACAGAAACUGACGUUGAGGCACGAAAGCGUGGGUAUCGAACA
rnacentral:rRNA from 1 species